CCCCCCCCCCCCCCCGGCGCUGCCGGCCGUUGCCUCAGGGCGGUGCUGCGAGCCGCCUCUGGCUCUGCCCCUGCUGUUGUGUUCGUGCGGGCCCUCUGCCUGCGGGUUUUGUAUUUAUUUAAGUAGCUGCGGUGGAAAGUCUACCGGUGUAACUGUUCUUCUGUGGGAGCGGCACUAAUGUACGCGCGGCAUCUUUACGCCGGCGAGCUGAGCGCACGAAUCCAGUUCAGGAAUGUGCUCUGAACCGACUUGAUGGAAAUUAUGGCUUCAAAUACAUAAGUGACAGAAAGCCCUCUGAAUCUGACAACUACUGGGAAAUCUGAAGAAAAUUCAGUUUCAGCCUCCCUCCUGCUUCUGAGCACUACAGAUUUGGGGAAGUGAUUCAGACAUCAUCCUGCCUCUUGAAAUUUCAUACAAAUUUAUUUCCACCCCAUUCCUGAUUCAUAACCUGAAGGAUUGUGAGCUGAAGGAUUGUGAGUCUUGCUAAAGCAAGAGAAAAUGUUGACUCUUAAAUAUCUUGUGCUUCAUCUUUCAAACUAAGUGGAGGUGACAUUCACUCAUACGUUUACACAAAUGGAAACAUGGCAUUCAUGAGUCACUGAUCUUAAUGUGGGAUUACGAACAAAAACCUAUGCUUCUUGACACCUACCUUCAGUUGAAAGACCACUCCUUGUGCAGUCCCUGGCUCUGAACUAGUCUAUGCUUUGGGUGGCAGGAGCCAAAGUGGAAGAAACAAAUGAAGCUCUUGACAUCUUGCUCUUCCUUGCUCAGUGGAAUUGCACCGUUACUCAGAUCUUGAAUCUUAUGGCUAUACCUAUGUCAUAUGAGUGGUCUCAGAAAGGACUGUGAACACCAUCAUUAGGACUGACUUCUCCUUCUAAUCCACACGACUGCUGCACAAGUUGCCUACAGACAGCCCAUGGACCGCCUGUCUGCUGUAAGGCUGCAUACUGAGAUAUCCAGCAGCACAUUAAGCUACAGGACAUGUGUGGGCAUGUGGCGUCCUUCACAAAGUGGCCUCUGGCUGCAGCUGGGGCUGUACUUCAAAGCCUGCUGUCUGUAUGGACUGUGCAUUUGGUCUUGAACCUUGCCUUGGGGCAUCCUUUACAAAUGCAGUACAGAUGUAUCCUUUGUGCCAGUAGAUGGAAGGGAAAGACUUUAGCCAC